rnacentral:rRNA from 1 species
AGAGUUUGAUCAUGGCUCAGAUUGAACGUUGGCGGCAUGCCUUACACAUGCAAGUCGAACGGUAACGCGGGGGCAACCCUGGCGACGAGUGGCGAACGGGUGAGUAACAUAUCGGAACGUGCCCUGGAGUGGGGGAUAGCUCGGCGAAAGCCGGAUUAAUACCGCAUACGAUCCACGGAUGAAAGUGGGGGACCGCAAGGCCUCACGCUCCUGGAGCGGCCGAUAUCUGAUUAGCUAGUUGGUGGGGUAAUGGCCUACCAAGGCGACGAUCAGUAGCUGGUCUGAGAGGACGACCAGCCACACUGGGACUGAGACACGGCCCAGACUCCUACGGGAGGCAGCAGUGGGGAAUUUUGGACAAUGGGGGCAACCCUGAUCCAGCAAUGCCGCGUGUGUGAAGAAGGCCUUCGGGUUGUAAAGCACUUUUGUUCGGAAAGAAAUCCCCUGGGAUAAUACCCCGGGGGGAUGACGGUACCGGAAGAAUAAGCACCGGCUAACUACGUGCCAGCAGCCGCGGUAAUACGUAGGGUGCGAGCGUUAAUCGGAAUUACUGGGCGUAAAGCGUGCGCAGGCGGUUGUGCAAGACAGGUGUGAAAUCCCCGGGCUUAACCUGGGAACUGCAUUUGUGACUGCACGGCUAGAGUGUGUCAGAGGGGGGUAGAAUUCCACGUGUAGCAGUGAAAUGCGUAGAUAUGUGGAGGAAUACCGAUGGCGAAGGCAGCCCCCUGGGAUAACACUGACGCUCAUGCACGAAAGCGUGGGGAGCAAACAGGAUUAGAUACCCUGGUAGUCCACGCCCUAAACGAUGUCAACUAGUUGUCGGGGAUUAAUUUCCUUGGUAACGCAGCUAACGCGUGAAGUUGACCGCCUGGGAGUACGGUCGCAGAUUAAACUCAAUGAUUGACGG